rnacentral:rRNA from 1 species
AUCUGGGCGGCGGAAUUCAGGAUGGCUGGCGUGCUCUCGCGGCGCGUCGGUCGUUUGAUAUUUCCGUCGCCAACUACCGCAGACGUCGCGACCUGUUCGCGGUCGGUCCCUGCUCGGAGGAGCCGUGUACGAGUUCGUUGUGUGCGCGCUUCUGGCGCGUUACACGGCGAAGACGCGGAUCUCUGGCUGGCCGUCGGACAGUAUGCUUAACGGUGUCCGGUGUCGUCGUCUCGUACGCGCGGCAUCGGUACCGGUCAGCGACGAAUUCUUCGGGCCUCUUUCCGACCCGUCUUGAAACACGGACCAAGGAGUCUAACAUGCGCGCGAGUCGCGGGGUAUCGAGCGUACUUUGGUGCGUUCGUUAUGUUGCGAAACCCGUACAUGUUGAAGGCGUAAUGAAAGUGAAUGGGGAAGAUGGUGUUCCGAGUUCACGUUCCGCGAUCGUCGGUAUCGCGGCCGGACAUCCGCAUUCCCGGGGCGUCUCAACGGCCCGUCGUUGAUGCGGACGGUCGUCUUUCGGGGCGGCCGUCGGUCGGCGAUGAACCGA